GAUGAAGAACGCAGCGAAAUGCGAUAAGUAAUGUGAAUUGCAGAAUUCAGUGAUUCAUCGAAUCUUUGAACGCACAUUGCGCCCGCCAGUAUUCUGGCGGGCAUGCCUGUUCGAGCGUCAUUACAACCCUCAGGCCCCCGGGCCUGGCGUUGGGGAUCGGCGGAGCCCCCCGUGGGCACACGCCGUCCCCCAAAUGCAGUGGCGGUCCCGCCGCAGCUUCCAUCGCGUAGUAGCUAACACCUCGCGACUGGAGAGCGGCGCGGCCACGCCGUAAAACACCCAACUCUUCUGAAGUUGACCUCGAAUCAGGUAGGAAUACCCGCUGAACUUAAGCAUAUCAAUAAGCGGAGGA
rnacentral:misc_RNA from 1 species